ensembl:lncRNA
CGAUGCCUGUGGAAAAGGGAAAGGAGGAUGAACCCGUGGGCAUGGAGCAGGGCGAACUGGACGAGCGCCAUGGAACUCCUGGACGUCACAAGACGGGACCCAGGACUGCUCAUCCGAACCAUAACCCACCCAGUCCACCAGGUACCACAACCCACCACCCCGGCACCGGGAAUCCAAAAUGGCUGCCACAACAUGGACCAGAUCCCCAUCCACCACCAGCGGAGGAGCUGCCAUUAGGGGCGCCACAGGGGGAUGCAGAGGGCUGUACUAAAAACCAAGGACACACUGAAAGGGCGUUGAGACGGAGAGAGGAAUUGAUAAUGGAAUUCUGGGCAUAGUCUGCCCAAGCGAGGUUGCGGCUCCAGUCGUGAGGUUGGCGAGAGCACUGCUGACAGAGACACUUCCCAAUCUCCUGAUUCAGGUGCUCCGUCUGUCCGUUGGUCUCCAGAUGGUACACCGUGGAGAGACUGAUGGACACACCUGGCUGUUCACAAAAGGCCUGCCAAACCCUUGAGGUUAAUUGGGACCAUCGUUCUGACACAUUCUCUGGUAUGCCAAACUGCCGGAACACCUGCUGAAACACACAUUCCGCCAUUUCCAUCGCUGUGGGCAGGUGGGGAAGAGGGAUUAAUCGACACAUUUUGGAGUGAACCCAGAGGACUCAGGCGCAGGUGGGACAGGAUAGGACGUAGUCCCAAAUGUCGUCGGCCAACGAGGACCACCAGUGUUGCCUUCUGAAAAUUUUCGUGGUGCCUGUAAUCCCGGGAUGUCCAGACCCGAAGGACGUAUGGCACCACUGCAUAAGCUGAGCGCGAACCGAAGUAGGAACAUAGGUCUUACCCAGGGGUGUGUCCGGUGGUGCUGGGUCUGAUCAUUGGAUGGUGGCCUGGAUGUCCCAUCGCACUGAUAGAGGAGGAUGGGAGGAUAGGGUCUGGAGCGGGAUGAAAGGUUGGUGGGUCAAACUGUCAAGACAAUGCAUCGGCCUUGACAUUACGUUUACCUGGUAUGUAGGUGAUGGUAAAUCAAUUACGUUUGGGCCAAUUACGCACCAAAGUUACCUUGGUCAUCCAUCCCUAAUCCUCCAGGGGUCAACACGGAUCCGAGGAACCACACUAUGGUGACAUGGAACUCGCUUUUCUCCCACUUGACCUACAGGUGAUGGGUGUGGAGCCAAUGCAGGACCUGGCUCACGUGCAAGAUGUGUUCCUGGAGAGAGUCAAAAUAGAUCAGGAUAUCAUCUAUAUAGACAAUGCCAAAGUGGUUGAUUAUGUCGACGAAGAGGUUGUUUAUAAACGACUGAAACACAGCAGGUGCGUUCUUGAGCACAUAUGGCAUCAGCAGGUACUCAUAGUGACCCCUGGGGGUGAUGAAAGUGGUUUUACAUUCAUCCCCCUCCUGUAUCCGGAUCAGGUUGUAUGUGCCUCAUAGGUCCAGUUUGGUGUAUAUGGAGGCUCUACCCACCUGUUCCAGGGCGGCUGGGAUUAUAGGCAGUGGGUACCGGUUCUUGAUAGUCAGAUAGUCCAGAGAGCGGGUUAAUCGAUGCAGGACCGGAGACCACCGUCCUUCUUUCCAACGAAAAAAAAGCUGGAUGUGGCUUGAGACGUGCAUUUCCUCUAGCAUUUCAUCUAUGUGGUGAUUCAUGGCCUUUUGUUCAGGGAUGGACAGAGGAUAGAUUCAACUCUUAGGUGGUGCCAGCCCCAGGAGGAUGUAUAUCACGCAGUCAUAGGGCCGAUGAGGGGUAGAACAGAAGCCUUAGCCUUCGAAAACAUAUCCCAGUACUGAUUAUACACCGCAGAGAUGGGACUGGUGACGGUGAAUGCCAAGUCCUCUAUAGAAAAGGCACAACACAUCGCCUGGAAACAGGAAGGGUACCACUCCGUGAGGUGAGUGACCAGGCCAGUGCUGAGGGGUUGUCCAUCCAGCGAAUUAAUCCUAAAGGGAGGUUGGACAGGGAUUAAUGUGACACCCAAUAGACGUACGAGCUGGACAUCAAUGAAACUGACUGCAGCCCCCGAGUCCAUGAGAGCUGCUAGUUGUCUAGUCUGGACCCGGUUCCGGAGGGUAGCCGGAACGCUUAUUUGACAGUUAGAAAUGUUUAGGAGAACAGAAGCAUCCACCCUGACCGCUGAGGAGGAAGCAUGGUCCGGCGGUCUGGAGGGACAAACUGGGCAGUGGCGAACGACAUGGUCCCCUUCUCCGCAAUACAGGCACAACCGCCCC